AGACAUCCUGCAGACUGAAGCUGAAGCCGCUGAACGCUGACCAACGUUCCUGAGUUCUUUGGCUGAGGUCUGAGGAACGUUCCUGAGACCCUGGCUGAGGUCUGAUGAACGUUCCUGAGACCCUGGCUGAGGUCUGAGGAACGUUCCUGAGGCCCUGGCUGAGGUCUGAUGAACGUUCCUGAGGCCCUGGCUGAGGUCUGAUGAACGUUCCUGAGGCCCUGGCUGAGGUCUGAUGAACGUUCCUGAGGCCCUGGCUGAGGUCUGAGGAACGUUCCUG